rnacentral:rRNA from 1 species
UACGGAGGGUGCAAGCGUUAUCCGGAUUCACUGGGUUUAAAGGGUGCGUAGGCGGGUUGGGAAGUCCGUGGUGAAAUCUCCGAGCUUAACUCGGAAACUGCCGUGGAUACUAUCAAUCUUGAAUAUCGUGGAGGUAAGCGGAAUAUGUCAUGUAGCGGUGAAAUGCUUAGAUAUGACAUAGAACACCAAUUGCGUAGGCAGCUUACUACACGAUCAUUGACGCUGAGGCACGAAAGCGUGGGGAGCAAACAGA